GUAAAAGUCGUAACAAGGUCUCCGUUGGUGAACCAGCGGAGGGAUCAUUACCGAGUUUACAACUCCCAAACCCCUGUGAACAUACCACUUGUUGCCUCGGCGGAUCAGCCCGCUCCCGGUAAAACGGGACGGCCCGCCAGAGGACCCCUAAACUCUGUUUCUAUAUGUAACUUCUGAGUAAAACCAUAAAUAAAUCAAAACUUUCAACAACGGAUCUCUUGGUUCUGGCAUCGAUGAAGAACGCAGCAAAAUGCGAUAAGUAAUGUGAAUUGCAGAAUUCAGUGAAUCAUCGAAUCUUUGAACGCACAUUGCGCCCGCCAGUAUUCUGGCGGGCAUGCCUGUUCGAGCGUCAUUUCAACCCUCAAGCACAGCUUGGUGUUGGGACUCGCGUUAAUUCGCGUUCCUCAAAUUGAUUGGCGGUCACGUCGAGCUUCCAUAGCGUAGUAGUAAAACCCUCGUUACUGGUAAUCGUCGCGGCCACGCCGUUAAACCCCAACUUCUGAAUGUUGACCUCGGAUCAGGUAGGAAUACCCGCUGAACUUAAGCAU
rnacentral:rRNA from 1 species